rnacentral:lncRNA from 10 species
CUUCGUCACACUACUUUCAUUUUAGUAAAAAACAGAGACUCAAAUCCAUCAAAACACCGGCCAAUGUCAUAUCCUGUAUGGAAAAUGAGGAACAUGAAAUCUGUUCUUAAAACCACCAAUUCAGGAUUAUGUUCAUUACUACAUGGCCUCCUAAGUUUACUGACAAACCUAAUAUUAUAUGUCUAACUAGGUCUGCCAUAGAGAUGGCUAAGAAUUUUAUUUAUUUUUUUAAAUAACUCAAAAUUAAAACAAGAUCAAAAGUUACUUAGAUUCAUCCUGUCCAUUCUUUUCCAUCAAUUCAGUGGACUCACUUGAUUUCCAUGUUGGAUUUCCAUCUCUUCCUUGUGCAUUUUAGUUAUUUUUUUGAGUAUGCGAAAUAUUAACCAUUUAUGAAAACAUUCUUUAUAACAACGUAUACACACACAUUCACUUUUGACCAUAAAAAAUAUUGUAAGGAGGCCGGAUGCAGGGGUUCACGCCUGUAAUCCUAACACUUUGGCAGGCUGAGAUGGAUGGAUCACGAGGUAAGGAGUUCGAGACCAGCCUGACCAACAUAGUGAAAUCCCAUCUCUACUAAAAUAAAUAAAUAAAAACAAAAUUAGCUGUGUCUGGCAGUGUGUGCCUGUAAUCCCAGCUACUCAGGAGGCUGAGGCAGGAGAAUCGUGUGAACCUGGGGGGCAGAGGUUUCAGUAAGCUGACAUUGUGCCAUUGCACUCCAGCCAGGACAACAGUGCAAGACCCUGCCUCAAAAAAAAAAAAAAAUAUAUAUAUAUAUAUAGUAAG